UACGUAGGGUGCAAGCGUUGUCCGGAAUUAUUGGGCGUAAAGAGCUCGUAGGCGGUCUGUCACGUCGGCUGUGAAAACCCGAGGCUCAACCUCGGGCCUGCAGUCGAUACGGGCAGACUAGAGUGCGGUAGGGGAGAUUGGAAUUCCUGGUGUAGCGGUGGAAUGCGCAGAUAUCAGGAGGAACACCGAUGGCGAAGGCAGAUCUCUGGGCCGUAACUGACGCUGAGGAGCGAAAGCGUGGGGAGCGAACAGG
rnacentral:rRNA from 1 species